rnacentral:misc_RNA from 1 species
GUGAAGAACGUAGCGAAAUGCGAUACGUAGUGUGAAUUGCAGAAUUCAGUGAAUCAUCGAAUCUUUGAACGCACAUUGCACCUCUCGGUAUUCCGGGAGGUAUGCCUGUUCGAGCGUCAUUUGUACCCUCAAGCUCUGCUUGGUGUUGGGUGUUUGUUCCGCCUCUGUGUGUGAACUCGCCUCAAAACAAUUGGCAGCCGGCGUACUUGUUUCGGAGCGCAGCACAUUUUGCGAUCCAGAUCAACGUACAGCGGCAUCCAAGAAGCCUUAUUUAACGCUCUUGACCUCGGAUCAGGUAGGGAUACCCGCUGAACUUAAGCAUAUCAUAAGCGGAGGA